UCAUUCUACCUGCACUCUGAUCUUGCUCUGAUUUGCAGCAGCGACAAGUGUACGAAAACCCUUACCCUUCAUCUCAGAUUUCUUCUUCUUCCAUUUAACUCGCCGUCGACAGGUGCCGGAGUUGUUCGCCGCUGCUGUGACAACCUGCCGCGAGUCCUUCCCCUGCUUCACCGUCAUUUCUCUGCUCACCUUCCUUGAGGUCGUGGUGAGUGCGUGGGCGUCUUCUUCCUCCUCUUCGAUUGUAGCUCGCCGCCGCUGUCGGGGAGAGCUCAGAGGGUCCGUCUGCCAACUCAUGGGUUUGAGUUUGUUGUGCUGUGGGAGUUAAUUCUUGGCUGUGAGAGGUUCGUUUUGUUGGCCGUCGCUCUUUUCGCCUGCACUUGCCGUCGUUCCUUCCUCCCUGUGUCUGCCAAUGUGAACGAAGUAGGAGUUGAAAUACAAGCAGGUAAUGACACCUAGAAAGAAAACUGCAAAUGCUCCGGAAAAAGUCCAUAAGAAGGCAUCUCGGAAGCCCACUUCCUCUGAAUGAUGUGGUUGUAUGUUUCUCCCUGAUGGAUUAUCAAU